CCUACGGGUGGCAGCAGUGAGGAAUAUUGGUCAAUGGGCGCGAGCCUGAACCAGCCAAGUAGCGUGAAGGAUGACUGCCCUACGGGUUGUAAACUUCUUUUAUAAAGGAAUAAAGUGAGGCACGUGUGCCUUUUUGUAUGUACUUUAUGUAUGAGGAUCGGCUAACUCCGUGCCAGCAGCCGCGGUAAUACGGCGGAUCCGAGCGUUAUCCGGAUUUAUUGGGUUUAAAGGGAGCGUAGAUGGGUUGUUAAGUCAGUUGGAAAAGUUUGCGGCUCAACCGUAAAAUUGCAAUUGAUACUGGCAGUCUUGAGUACAGUUGAGGUAGGCGGAAUUCGUGGUGUAGCGGUGGAAUGCUUAGAUAUCACGAAGAACUCCGAUUGCGAAGGCAGCUUACUAAACUGCCACUGACAUUGAUGCUCGAAAGUGUGGGUAGCAAACAGGAUUAGAUACCCUAGUAGUC
rnacentral:rRNA from 1 species